UUUAAUGGUUACUAAGUUAUUGCUGGAAGC
rnacentral:piRNA from 1 species